UACGUAGGGACCAAGCGUUGUCCGGAAUCAUUGGGCGUAAAGAGCGUGUAGGCGGCUUGUUAAGUCUUGCGUGAAAUCUCGGGGCUCAACCCCGAGCGGUCGUGAGAAACUGGCAGGCUAGAGUGCGGGAGAGGAGAGUGGAAUUCCUGGUGUAGCGGUGAAAUGCGCAGAUAUCAGGAAGAACACCCGUGGCGAAGGCGGCUCUCUGGAACGCAACUGA
rnacentral:rRNA from 1 species